GGUGCAGCAGUCGAGAAUUUUUCUCAAUGGGGGAAACCCUGAAGGAGCGACGCCGCGUGGGGGAUGAAGGGCUUCGGCCUGUAAACCCCUGUCAUUUGCGAACAAACCUUUCCAUUGAACAGGUGGAGAGCUGAUUGUAGCGAAAGAGGAAGGGACGGCUAACUCUGUGCCAGCAGCCGCGGUAAUACAGAGGUCCCGAGCGUUGUUCGGAUUCACUGGGCGUAAAGGGUGCGUAGGCGGUGGGGUAAGUUUGAUGUGAAAGCUCGCAGCUCAACUGCGAAAUGGCAUUGAAUACUACUCCGCUGGAGGCUUGGAGGGGGGACUGGAAUACUUGGUGUAGCAGUGAAAUGCGUAGAUAUCAAGUGGAACACCAGUGGCGAAGGCGAGUCCCUGGACAAGUCCUGACGCUGAGGCACGAAAGCUAGGGGAGCAAACAGGAUUAGAUACCCGAGUAGUCC
rnacentral:rRNA from 1 species